GAUGAACGCUAGCUACAGGCUUAACACAUGCAAGUCGAGGGGAAACGAUAGAGAAAGCUUGCUUUUUCUAGGCGUCGACCGGCGCACGGGUGAGUAACGCGUAUCCAACCUGCCCAUCACUUGGGGAUAACCUUGCGAAAGUAAGACUAAUACCCAAUGACGUCUCUAGAAGACAUCUGAAAGAGAUUAAAGAUUUAUCGGUGAUGGAUGGGGAUGCGUCUGAUUAGCUUGUUGGCGGGGUAACGGCCCACCAAGGCGACGAUCAGUAGGGGUUCUGAGAGGAAGGUCCCCCAAAUUGGAACUGAGACACGGUCCAAACUCCUACGGGAGGCAGCAGUGAGGAAUAUUGGUCAAUGGGCGAGAGCCUGAACCAGCCAAGUAGCGUGCAGGAUGACGGCCCUAUGGGUUGUAAACUGCUUUUAUAAGGGAAUAAAGUGAGUCUCGUGAGACUUUUUGCAUGUACCUUAUGAAUAAGGACCGGCUAACUCCGUGCCAGCCGCCGCAGUAA
rnacentral:rRNA from 1 species